rnacentral:rRNA from 1 species
GUGUCAGCAGCCGCGGUAAUACGUAGGGGGCUAGCGUUGUCCGGAAUUACUGGGUGUAAAGGGCGUGUAGGCGGGAUAUUAAGUCAGGUGUGAAAACCCGAGGCUCAACUUCGGGACUGCAUCUGAAACUAAUAUUCUUGAGUGCAGGAGAGGAAAGCGGAAUUCCAAGUGUAGCGGUGAAAUGCGUAGAUAUUUGGAGGAACACCAGUGGCGAAGGCGGCUUUCUGGACUGUAACUGACGCUGAGGCGCGAAAGCGUGGGGAGCAAACAGGAUUAGAUACCCUGGUAGUCCACGCCGUAAACGAUGGAUACUAGGUGUAGGAGGUAUCGACCCCUUCUGUGCCGGAGUUAACACAAUAAGUAUCCCACCUGGGGAGUACGGCCGCAAGGUUGAA